UACGGGGGGGGUAAGCGUUGUUCGGAAUUACUGGGCGUAAAGGGCUCGUAGGCGGCCAACUAAGUCAGACGUGAAAUCCCUCAGCUUAACUGGGGAACUGCGUCUGAUACUGGAUGGCUUGGAUUCGGGAGAGGAAUGCGGAAUUCCAGGUGUAGCGGUGAAAUGCGUAGAUAUCUGGAGGAACACCUGCGGUGUAGACGGCUUACUGGCCCGAUACUGACGCUGAGGCACGAAAGCGUGGGGAGCAAACAGG
rnacentral:rRNA from 1 species